rnacentral:lncRNA from 10 species
CAACGGUUCACUUAUAGAUGCAGGUAAUUUGGAAUCCUCCCCGUUUCCCUUUUAAAAUCCACUACAAAUAAAUACAUAAAAUAAUGGCAAUGCUUAACGAAUGGAGAAGCUGAAAAAGGAGUGCCAUCGUAGUGAAUUGUGACAGCAACAUGCUGAAUGAUGGAGGGUCUCUGAGCAGGGGGACAGCCAAGAUGGCCGAAUAGGAACAGCUCCAGUCUACAGCUCCCAGUGUGAGCGACACAGAAGACAGGUGAUUUCUGCAUUUCCAUCUGAGGUACCAGGUUCAUCUCAUUAGGGAGUGCCAGACAGUGGGUGCAGGUCAGUGGGUGCAGCGCACCAUGCAAGAGGCAAAGCAGGGCGAGGCAUUGCCUCACCCGGGAAGCACAAGGGGUCAGGGAGUUCCCUUUCCUAGUCAAAGAAAGGGGUGAAAAACGGUACCUGGAAAAUCAG